rnacentral:rRNA from 1 species
GUAGGUGGCAAGCGUUGUCCGGAAUUAUUGGGCGUAAAGCGCGCGCAGGCGGUUCUUUAAGUCUGAUGUGAAAGCCCACGGCUCAACCGUGGAGGGUCAUUGGAAACUGGAGGACUUGAGUACAGAAGAGGAAAGCGGAAUUCCACGUAUAGCGGUGAAAUGCGUAGAGAUGUGGAGGAACACCAGUGGCGAAGGCGGCUUUCUGGUCUGUAACUGACGCUGAGGCGCGAAAGCGUGGGGAGCAAACAGGGAUUAGAUACCCUGGUAGUCCACGCCGUAAACGAUGAGUGCUAAGUGUUAGGGGGGGUUUCCGCCCCCCUUAGUGCUGCAGCUAACGCAUUAAGCACUCCGCCUGGGGAUACGGCCGCAAGGCUG